rnacentral:rRNA from 1 species
CCUACGGGAGGCAGCAGUGAGGAAUAUUGGUCAAUGGACGAGAGUCUGAACCAGCCAAGUAGCGUGAAGGAUGACUGCCCUAUGGGUUGUAAGCUUCUUUUAUAAAGGAAUAAAACGAGGCACGUGUGCCUUUUUGCAUGUACUUUAUGAAUAAGGAUCGGCUAACUCCGUGCCAGCAGCCGCGGUAAUACGGAGGAUCCGAGCGUUAUCCGGAUUUAUUGGGUUUAAAGGGAGCGUAGGCGGGUUGUUAAGUCAGUUGUGAAAGUUUGCGGCUCAACCGUAAAAUUGCAGUUGAUACUGGCAGGCUUGAGUACAGUAGAGGUAGGCAGAAUUCGUGGUGUAGCGGUGAAAUGCUUAGAUAUCACGAAGAACUCCGAUUGCGAAGGCAGCCUGCUGGACUGUAACUGACGCUGAUGCUCGAAAGUGUGGGUAUCAAACAGGAUUAGAUACCCCAGUAGUC